rnacentral:rRNA from 1 species
AGAUUGAACGCUGGCGGCAGGCCUAACACAUGCAAGUCGAGCGGUAGAGAGGUGCUUGCACCUCUUGAGAGCGGCGGACGGGUGAGUAAUGCCUAGGAAUCUGCCUAGUGGUGGGGGAUAACGUUCGGAAACGGACGCUAAUACCGCAUACGUCCUACGGGAGAAAGCGGGGGACCUUCGGGCCUCGCGCCAUUAGAUGAGCCUAGGUCGGAUUAGCUAGUUGGUGAGGUAAUGGCUCACCAAGGCGACGAUCCGUAACUGGUCUGAGAGGAUGAUCAGUCACACUGGAACUGAGACACGGUCCAGACUCCUACGGGAGGCAGCAGGUGGGGGAAUAGUUGGACAAGUGGGACGAAAGCCUGAUCCAGCCAUGCCGCGUGUGUGAAGAAGGUCUUCGGAUUGUAAAGCUAACUUUAAGUGGGAGGUAAGGUUGUAAACUUAAUACGUUGACUAACUUUGACGUUACCGACAGAAAUAAGCAACCGGUACUAAACCGUUUCGUACGUACCCGAGUACAACGGCCCGACGGUUAAAC